CUCUAUCCAGGGGGUGGGUGCUUUGCUGGGGGCAGGCAUAGGAAGGCUAUUGGGGUCAUCUGCUCAUAACGACAGUUGAAUACCACUGCUGGAGAGGUUUCUGGGUGGAUUCCCACCACCUGAAGAACUGAAGAGGAGUCUGUGCUGGAGAGUUUAUGAAGGGACCCCCAAGCUAAACAUCCAGCAGGCCUCCUGCUCAUCACUGGAACACCAGGAGCAGAAUGGAUGGAUGAGAUUAGCACAUUGUGUUAAAAACAUAUUUUUCUUGUGUGAUGCAUAGUCUUUCACAGCUUUCUCAUCCCAUGGAGUAGUGCCCAGAAGCUGAUGUUAUGCCGUUGUUAUUGGGAAGGAGUGGGUGUGGGUGUGUGUGUGCAAGGGGCAGAACAGAUAUUGUUGACAAUUCCUCAUGUUCACUUACUUUCUUCCCAGCAGUGUAAUUCUCCACCUUUUUCCUUGUCCUUGGGCUUCACGCAUCGAAAGAUUUUUCAGUUUUGGUCUGUGACAUUAAAUUUCUCCAUGCUUAUUCUGAAGCAGCCAUGUCUGCAGAGGCUGGGUGACUCAUCCUGUCUGUAAUCAAUGGCUCGGGAGGCCACAGAUGCUAUCAGUGUUAUUGAGAGCUGCAGAUAAUAACUGAGCCCCGUGUGAUGCUGCUGCAGGUGUGUGGCCAGGUCAAGACCCCCACAAGUGGAGCUGCUUGUCCAAAAGAUGUUGUUGUCCAUAGAUACCCCAUGAGUAGCUGAGGAACCUGUGGAUCAACAGCAGAGCUGGGAACGUGAGCUAAAUCUGAGGCUCUUCAGGGAUAUACUCUGUGAAAUAUAACAAUAGAGGUAUGUGCCACUGAUCAUCUCUGGACUGCAAGCAUGCUGGACCUUGAAUCCAAUCUGCUGCAGCUUCUCAUGAUUCCCCUCCCAAGUGACUGAGUCAAGCAGAUGAACUAAAGUUUCCCAGCUGACCAAAGCACCACGAGCUACCCUCUGAGCAUGUCAGCUGAAGAGCAAGAGCUGCACCAGUGUUACUGAAAAUAGGGAUGCUGGAAAAGAUGUGCUCCCUGAAAACAUGGUGGAAAAGAUACUGCAUGCUCAACCUGGACAAAAAAUCAAGGACUGAAACACAACAUUUAAAAAGAGGCUGUACCACUGAGUUGUAUAACAGAGGUAAGAUAUUUUCAGUCAGUUGUCUUAUGACAAAGUAAAGUGGUCUUUGCUGUUCAGCCUCACCAUUGUGCAUUUGUACAAAAGUUCUCUAUCUUUUAAGUUGUGUCUCUGAUAAACACAGUUCAAUUUUAUGGUAUUUCUGACAUUUUGAUCCACCAGUGUACCCGAGCUUAAAAAUUAAAGAAAUAGUGAUAGAAGCAAAAGGCAGAUAGGACAGCUUUUUUUUUCUUUUUUUCUAGACAGAAAUAGAGCUGAAAGCCCCAAAGAUGCUAAGCAACCUAUUCUGUAGCACAGACAUUAUUAUUACACAGAUAACCUGCCAGCCAUUGCAAUCAGAUUUCUAGCAGUUAUAAUUGACAUCAAAUUCUGGUAUUGUCAAAUCUCUCUGACACAGCUGUUGUGCAGAAUGUCCUCAGCUUAAGUGUGUCAUGCACUACUUAAAAAAAAAAAAAAGUCCAAGUUUAAAAAUGCCUUUUAAAGUACUGGGACCAUCUUCUGCUUCCACUUAAAGACAGCCCUGCAUCCCACUUGUUUUAAUGGCCAAGCCCUGAGCCUGCUGCCAUUCGUCAAAGUUGGCCAGUGACCUGAACUGCAGAAGGUGAGCACUCAGAGAAGGCUGAGCCUCAGGAGACACCACAACUGCCUUGUUUUGAGUCAGCUGCUUAUGGUUUGUUCUUCUGAGCUGCUAAUUGCCUGCCUGUUCUCCCUUUGGGUUUGCAUAUCACUUCCUCAUGAGGACACAGGGCCAGAGAAACCGUGCAAGGGUACUGUCUUCCACACAGCAGCAACAAGCUGCAGCGAGAUGCAGCAAGGAAGAGCCUCUCCAUCAGGCCGAUGACAUAGCAUGAGGAGACAUCGCUCUGUCACAGCCCAGCCAUCUGCAAGUUGGCAAGAGCAGCUGAGAAAGAAAAUGUGUUCCUGUCCCAGUAGUCCUUUUACCAAAUUACUCUCGUAUUCAUCUACACGAUCGCUGCCACUGGAGGAAUCCUGUACUGCUGCUGCUGGGCCUGCAGAGAACAGGGCAGCAGCCAAGGGUUAAUUUGCUCCUAGAACAAGGUGACUUGGCUAGCAUUUGUUAAAAUACCACCUGGGAGCAUGGGGCAGGAAGGGCAGCAUGACCUUCCUGCUGCCAUAUUGACUGCCUGAGCCGAACCAUCCCAAAACACUGGUUUCAGUUACACAGGCUGUGAGGGGCUGCAGGGUACAAGCAACCUGGGGUGAGGCUCAGCAGGCAGCAGCAGCCACACUGGGGUACCUGUGACUUCAGCAGGAUGGAAGGUCAGCAAAGCUGGAGCACUGCACCACCAAACACCCCCUUGGCACUCACAUCCUUGAUGAGCUCUUUGGAAUUAGCAGCCUAAUUAGAAGAGUGUGGGAUUUACUGCUCUAGUCUAGAUACAGGACAUCAACGGCCCUGGGGUAAGGAGAUGGAAGAGAUCUCCUUCAGACCAUCACUCAUGAAUGCAUGCAGAUUUAUCUGAAAGUGCUGAAGAAACAAUAAUCUAAUCAGUGUUUGCAGCAGGCUCUAAAUCUGUUUGUUUAAUUACAAGCUGGGACAUGACCCUUUUAGCAGUGGAUGCUCCUUGAAUUCUGUGGGAAAAGGGAAAGAAAUGAAAGGUUUCCCUUUUUAGGGAGCAGGGUAGCUGAGCAGAAUAGGUGACAACGGGGAACGUUGUUUUUGUGGUAACCUGCAACCUGUCUGAAAGCCUGUCUGCACAGCCAUUGGGACAUACACUGGGCAAAUCAGUGUGGAAGUGAUCUCCUCAUCCUCUGCUGCUCUUGUAAGGAAUGAUUCCUGGGCUUCUGAUGGCAAGCUUAUGGAGGCAGAGCUCUUCCCUCCACAGAUUGGGCAGGCAGUGCUGCCAAACUCAGGCUCGGCUCAGCCAGGACCUCGCCAUGCCACCACCCACCACCUUUGCUGACAGUGAAGAAAGAUGGGACCUGCCCCUAAGGAAGCGCUUGGAGGCAGACACUGCUGAGUGAGCUCUUUUUCUGCACACCAGAAAUUGCCUCUGCUCACUGACUGCGAGAAGCUGCAAGCAGAAGAUAAAUAACAGCAAGAGCUGCAGGAGAAGAAAUAAUGCCACAUUACAUCAAACAGGUCCCUGCUUUGCUGUCAGCUCAGAGUCUGUUCUGCACAAAAGGACAGGCUUGCCAUUUGGCCUGUAUAUUUUAUUAAUGUGGCUGCAUAUUUAUUGCACCAUGGGUUAGCCGAUCCUUUGGUGGUCAAUACCACCCUUUUAGGCUGCAGUUCUCAGCAAAGGCAUUUAUCCUGGCUGCUGCUUUUCCCCACGUGCAGUCAGCAAUGCUCUCAGGUGUCUGCCUGCAGGUGCUUUGCCCGCAGCAACAUUGCCAAAGUUUGGAAACCCAGUGUAACUCUCCACAAAAUACUGAAUGCAGUGGAGUCUUUAGACUGGCAUUAUAUGCUAAAAAUAGUAUUAAUAUCAGUCCAAUAGGCCUAUUAUUUACAUUUUUAUUUUGCAAGGCAUGACACUGCAGGCUUCAUUUUAAACACAAAUAAUGUCAGUGCAGGGAAAUAAGCAGGUCAUUACACUGAACAAAAUCAGAGAUUCUUUCAGGACCUGAUCCUAAUCAUAAUAUGACCAAGGGGAAGACUACCUAUGACUUUAUUGUAUUAGCUUUCUAAUGUUCAUGUUCUCUGCUAAUAAACAUACACAUCUUGAUUUAAGAACUCAAGGUUAUUUGAUAUUUUCACUCUUAAUCCAGCUAACUUGCUUACAUUAGGUACAAAUGAUAACGACUAAGCUUGAAUACUGGGAAUGUCACAGGUUCAAGGAGCUGGUUAGCUCUGCCUGGACCAAAGCAGCAGCUCUGUAUGACCAAAUGGUAAUGUGACCUUUUCAAAUGAGCUUGAUUUGCUGCAAUCCAUUUAUUCAUGAAUGCCAUGGAUGGAUAUUUUUCAAACCUCAGUAGUUUGACAGUGCCAGGGCAUUACUGGCAGCCAAACCCUGCUUCUUGAUAUAGAGCAGCAAUGCUCUUUGGAAUUCCUCCGCCCUCUUGGCUCCCUAAAUUAUGCUAUUGAACAUAUGCUGCUAAGAGGAUCUCAGAGGGAUGUUCGUAUUAGACGGCAGGCUAAUUGUGGGAUUUGAGAGAUUUCAGAUGGCAAAAACUUUAAAAAGGAAGAUUAUCAAGGAUUAUACAAGAGAGAUGAGAUGUAAGACUGACCCUUUAUCCAAGAGUUGAUGCUGACUGAGAGAAAACAUUUGUUUCAGCAGGUGAAGACCCCACCUAAGAAGGGACAUAUAUGCAGAGAAAGAGGAGACUGGAUUUCUCUCAGUAAAUGAUAUAUAUGCCCUCCUUAUAAGCAAUACUUGGUGGCUCAGAUUAAUGGAAAUUCUUAUUCAGAGGAGUUUUCCAACACCCUACACAUGAAAAACUGCAAGAGAGCAUAGCCCAAUCUCCUCUGCAGGCACAGGUAACAGAAGCACAUGCAUCUGUCUGUAAUUUGGGUAAAGCAUGUAUUAGCAUUUAAAACACUGCAUUGCUCUAACAAGCAAGCUGGCACCACAUAGCUUAGGAAAUAGGAAGCUUCAUGCUACAGUCAGUGCUCAAAGUGCAAUGUGCUCUCAGCAAAGGCUGACUGCUUCCCUAGGGUGGCUCAGACAGUCCAGGAGGGCAGAAAAUGCAGCUACUUUCAUCUUCACCAGGCCCUCGGAAAGCAGCCCAGGCAGAGCACUGGGGAAACCUCUCUGCAAACAUCAUACAGGCCUAGGACAAAAUAAAGUUUCUUCUCUUUUAAAUUAAAUAAAUAAAUAAAUUAGUUGUUAGCCCUAAAAAAGGGAGCCCAGCAAGCUAUAUGAUGCAGAUAGAAACACUACUAAUAACUCACUGCAUGAUACAGCAACAACUCCAACCACUCCCUCAGACAACUGUCCUCAGUGAAGUUAAGAAUAGAUUUUUUUUCCAGUAAUUUAUAGGACACUUUCUCUAAAACAAAUGCACAGUCUAAUAGGAAAUCCUGUCCUUCCAAGAGACAGCCUGAGACAGAGCAGAGAUAGGCUUAUAGAGCUCCGCUUUCUCUCUCUCCUGAGUGGAGAUACGGACUUUGCAAGGGUCUGUUAUUUGGUUAUGUCUCACUCCCUGCGGCCCCUGGGCUGUGUAACUGAUUACUGGAGCCAGACUUUUGGGAGACAUGCUGCUGCUGUUGUCUAAGUAGCAGAAGAGACGUGAGUCCCUGGUAAAGCACUUACAAGGCUGAUUUAAACUUGGAAGGCACCCAGAUGUCUCAUGGAGGGGUGCAAUUUAAAACCCUACCCAAAGAUAGCCUUGACUACAAUCACGAAUUUCUGGGAAAUCAGCAUGGAACAGUUGCCUCAUGAGCCAGGCCCUGCAGACCUAUGUAUUACAGCAUUUCAAAAGGAGAGCUGGUGCCAUUCUGAGUUACCUCACUGAGAAAAAAAAAAUCAGCAAAACAAUUAGUGCAAACUGUGACUAAAUGAGCACUCCCUAGCUUACAGAGCUGUUGCAUGCUUACAGAGCUGCACCAGCAAGUCUCUCAGACUUUCCAAGAAUUCAAGUCCAGGAACAUUUAACAUCUCAGUCCCAAUUUCUUCCAACAGUGUUACCUGUUGAACAGAAAGGGAGCUCUCUGAGAAGACAUGGAAGGGCUGUAGUGCAGAGAAACCUUCAUUCCUCAAAUCAUAAAAAAGUGAAUAACAUGAGUACCUUGAUGUUAAAAACAAACUUUGUAGCUCUGCUACAGAAAGUCCUUUUAAGCACAGUAAAAACAAAGAACUUCUGGUUCUGAAUUAGCAGAUAUUGUGCUUGCAUUACAGCAAGGAGGAAUCUGAAAUUCAAGUCCAAGGCCUCUUCUGAAAACUACUACCAUUUUCUCUUGAGAAUCUAAACUGUCUUGGAUCAGUUCUGCUUCUAAAAUCUGGUUAUCUAUUUCCAAGUCAGCAAAUAAAAGCUGGCUGCAGCCAGCCGAAGAGCAGAGAUCAAAACCACCCUGCAAUUGAAAACAUAAAGGUGAGCUUGUCCAUCAGAAAAGGUGUCUUCCAAUUUACCCACCAGGUGAUCUUCCAUUUUACUGUCUAGGGCUACCCUUUGCUACUAUAACCUAACAAGCAGAAAAAAAAAAAAAAAAAAAAAAAAAAAAAAAAAAAAGGCUGAGGGAAGAAAGUACAACAGGGCAAGGAUUCAGGAGAAAGGCCGGUAAAUUUGAUCAGCUGCCUUCUGAAGUCUGCACAGGGAGUGUGUGCUGGCAAGUUGAGAAAUGCAGUUUUCCUGCAGGCAAACAAGACUCUGUGGACAUCCUUGGACUUUGAGGAUUUUGUGGCUAAACCCAUGAUGAACAAAUGGGGUAAUUAAUUUCCACUUAAAUUCUACCACUGAAAUAAAAUAAAACUAUCACUGAAAUAAAUGGGAUUCAUCUAUCUGAAUAUCCCUGAGGAUCUGAGUCUGAAUCUGGACCUGCAUGCGUGAGUCCAGGCUCUGAUUCAGCUGUUCUACCUCAAGGCACAUAAAAGCAACACCAAAGUUAAGAGCUGGGUCCGCCUGGGAUUUUCCUGCCCUCAGUGAACACGAUUGGGAUAAAUUAACCCUGUAGGGGAUAAUGAAGCGUGGAUCUGCUAUGUUCAACUCCCGCACCACAGAUUCUGCUGUUAAAGGGUAUUCUAAGUGAACUUAAAUACAGAGUAUUGAGUAGACAAGGAUUUCAGUCUGCUGUCUUCCAAGCCAGGCUAAGUCUGCCUGAGAUCAGCCCUUGCAUCAGCAACAUGACUACUGAAACAGAAAGAAAUUACUUUGGGUACAUCCAAGAUACAGUUUUCACUUUGCAAUAUUUGCAGGGAUUUCUUUCCCCUUUGCUGGAAUAGCCCCCAAACCUUCCAGUAUUAUAUUGGCAAAGCUCCCAAUGAAAUGAAUCAUGACUUUGCCUGAGUUAGUGCUCCAGGACUGAGCUUUGAAUUAUUAAAAGAGAAUGAUUUGUAAGAAAUUAUGUCAAUUUUCAAAACAGCCCAGCAAAUGUAGACAAAACCCGUUCUUUGAAACUAGUGGAAAGUAUGUGGUUGAACUCCCAGUCUGCUUUGAAAUCUCAGCACUAGCUUUUUAGUGAGAGGCAGUGCCUUUUAAAUCUCAUAUUUUAAUCAUCAUACUUCUUUACAAUGCAGAACUCUUGCCUUGCUGCUUUGGUUCAAAUACAACCUUCCCCAUUAUGAGCUUCACAGUGUAAGUGAGCCCCGUGUAUCACAAGCUGAUGCUCUCCUGGCAGGGAAGCUGCAGGCUUGCUCCUUUCCUUCCACUUGUAAAAUAAUCUGCUGUCAGAACAGGUAUGUGCAACCUCCCAGAGUGACCUGGUGAUAUCCCUCCUUGUUCCUACAUGGUACCUUGAGGGGAGUCAGAUUGCACACCAAAUAUUGCUUUAGGCAUUACAUUUGCAUUUUUAACAUUAGCCCCAGAUACAGCGGCAUUUCUUGCUCAUUGGGUAAUGAACUCUUCCCCAGGUUUGGGGUUUCAUCUGUGUCACCUGCACAGCCAUGCAAGCUGGUGUUGCAGUGACCCACUCCUCAUGCUUACUGAAUUCAGCAACACCGUGCACGCACACACACAAAAAUCUUGUCAGUGAUUCCUAGACUUUUGUCAUUUUUAAUAACAUUUUAAUUAUUUUAAAAUAAUAUUUUUAUAAUUAUUCAUAUCUGUCUUUGCAUAGGAUGUCUGAGUGCAGAUUAAUUGAGUGCACAGUUUAAUGAUUUUCUUUCUGUAAGAGGUAACUUUUUGGCUGCUGGCCUCGCUUCUUUUUAAGCUCAGUCUGAUGAAAUUCAGCUCUUUGCUUUACUGUAUCUGAUCACUGGAUGUUUGUUGUUGAAAGGCAGCUUCUGUCAGAGCUGAAAACACAACCACACAACGACAGAAUACAAACUGUAAAAUGAUGUGGAAGAAAAAGAUUAAUUUCUUCCCCUAGACAUUGCAAAGCCAUUACCUGUUUUUGAAUGACAUUUCCAAUUCUACACUGGGAACUGCUAAAGCAUUUACAUAAGAAUGCAAAAAUGCACACAUUAUCACUGCAGGAAGCACUUAAAAUUUAAGAUAAUUAUAUAGUAUGGAAACGAUUUCAAAGGACUCAAACAAAAUAACAACUAAUUCUAGAGAGUCACCCUUUAAGAUGAUUAUUACUCUGCACUACUGCUGAUCUCUCACUAAAAAAAAUCCUUCUCUUUACAAUUAUAUGCACAUUAUAAAUUCCUACUUUGUUCCUCCACCAUCAAGCUCCUACAGCUGCUGCUGAAAAAUUUGCAUUCUCUGAGAGCUUAACCAGAUAGCUGAAAUAGUCCCACUGUGAACAGAGGUACAACACAAUGUUGUCAUGCUCAGGAGCAAGAUUCCUCCACCCUUGUCUUAUGCCAGGCCCUCUGGUUUUAUAGCCACUUGGGUUGAAUCUGGGGCAGGAGCCUCAGGCAGGGGCAUGGGCCACGGGGACACCAGCAUGUCCUGUGUUGGAAAAGGGAGUUUGUGCCAACCCCACAUGCUUGCAGAUGCCAGCAGAGAGUUUGCAACAGGGAUGUGUGGAGGAUACCUCUGAGGGUAUUUCUCUGCUGUAUGAUGAAUGGCAGAAUAAGGCAUCCUAUGCUGCAGUCUGCAGCACAGGUUGUACAUACAAUCUCUAGCCCUGUGUUUCGGAGAAGCCCUCUCUGCCAUUCAUCAGUGCUGCUGGGCAUGCAGGGAGGGGAGCAGCCAGGAAACAGGGUGCUUACUCUUGCCUGUGCAAACCAAUAGAAAGCAAUAAAGAUUUAUUUGGUCAGCAGAUUUCCAGACAGAAAAUCACAUCUGAGGAAACCUGGACUGAGUUCCAGGUAGAAGUACAUAGAGGAAAACUUGCCUCACCAGCCUCUUUUCAUCCUCAAUUCUGACUCUCUCAAAGUCCAUUUUCCAUUCACUGUCGCUCUUGUUCCUGUUCCCUGCCCCAUUGCUGCAUUUCCUCUCUCUUUUCUUCUCCCACAGUGCCCCAGGGAAAAAAAAAAAAAAGAAAAAAAAAAAAGAAAAAGAGAGUGAGGGAGAAAAGAAAAAAUCUGCCUACUUCUUUUGCUGAAGGCAAACUCAACUGUGGAAAACCUUAUCUGCCAAACUCUAAUGUAUUUUUAUCGGACAUCUGCAAGGAGAGAUUUAAAGGAACUCACGCCAAAGUCAAACACUUGCUUCCCUAUUCCUCCAUCCAGAAAGGGCAAAAGUCCAUAAUGAAUUUAAAGCAGGUGAAAAUCCCUUGUAUCAGAUACUAUAGAGACACAAGGGACUUCCAUCCCAAGACUCAAUUCAGAAGUGUUUUCCAAGUCUAAUUAUUGGAAAUAAUUGCAGUGACAGAGAUGAAGCUUCCCCACAAACUUCAGCCAGAAGGGGAAGACUGAUAGGUUUUAAAUCUAGUAGUUAAAUUCUGACAAAGUGUGGAGCAGCUAAAAAUAGUAUCUGAUGAUGGGAAACAUCAUCCAACUUAUUAAUAGGUGGUGUUACCUGGGCUGCUGCUGACAUUUCACAUUACUGCCUCAAACAAACCAAAGCAUUGGAGGUCAGAACAAACCAGGAGUGUUUGCUUGGCAAUGGGGUUCCUGUGGAAAUUUAAUUAGGCUUGGACUAGAAAACAUUUCAUAUGGUGCUGGCACAGAUUCCCAUCUAUUAAAUAACACUUUGUAUGAGCAGAAUGUCACUAGCUUUUGCAAAACGCCUUAGAGAUAUAGAUAUAUGUGAAGCUUUAUCUGAUAACUGCGAGCAGGUCAACUUAGGGCAAUACAUAUUCACAACAGUUAUUUAAAUCAGCCAGAAUUACAGUUUUAAUUUUUCAUGGUCAGCUUGGCUAGCCUAGCUUUUGUACUCCUGAGACUAUUUCUGGUAAAGGAAAAAAAAAAAAAGACGACUCAUAUGCUUCAUGCACAGGCAGGGGUGGAUGAAAUGUUGUUUCCCUAAACACAGGAGUUUUUCUGGCCCCAACCCUUCCAAGCAGAAACUACUUUUCCUCCAGGUCACCCCCAUGGAACCAAUCCUGGUGCUUGUUCCAAGAUGGCUGAGAGUGCCCUGCUGUCCCUUCUCACUGCACCUGGUUCUUCUGCUCUCAUUUUGGUACAGAAACCAUCACAAACAGCAGGCCCUGCCAUGCCUGUACCCUGUGUGGCUCACUGCAAUGGGCAGCAGUGUGGGCUGCUACCAGGGCAGACCUUGUUCCUGAAACACCUCACCCCACCAAGAGCACGAUCAUCCCUCACAUGUUUCUCAGAUGAGAGAAGGCAGGAGUUGGUUUAUAAGCAAGCUUGCCAAACUUACUCUAAAAUGAAUUAUAAAAUUCUAGCUUAAACCAACCAGCUGCCUACCCAACAUCCAGAUUGUAAGGACCUGUCUAGACAGAGACGUAAUUAUACAGAAAACAAGACACUCUGUCUUUGCAGCAGAGCCCAUCUUUCAUGUAUAGUUGUCACUGAAACUGUACUGUCUUUGGAAAAGACAAAGAGGUGUGCCAAGUGAUGGUCUAGAUGUCAUCUUCUGGUGUGGACACAACCUCUCCUGACCUUUUGAAUCAGACAGCACAGUUUGGGGUCAGGACACUGUAACUGCCUAAUUCAAGCUUGCCACCUCCCAGUGUGGCCUUGGAUAAAUCUCUUCAUAACAGCCUCAUUUCUCAUAGAUGCACUUUGGGGAGCUACACAUACUCAAAUAAGCAAAGCACUAUAUCCAAUUUCUUAUUUUGUGAAACUACAGUGAUGACAGACAGGAGUAAUUAAUGUUUGCACUCCAUUGUGAAAAUGAAGACUACUAAAUAAUAUCUGAGUGUAAUCACAUGUACAUAGUCGAAGUGUUCUUAAAGAAAUGUUUUAAGAGAUUCAACUUUCCUGCUCCCAGCAGCUGCAGCCAGUAGUGAUACCAGCCAGGAAUGGAAAGGGCUGAAUUAUUUCUGCCGACUGAAAAUCAAAUUGUUUUAAAAAAUAAUUCACAUGAUUUGUAUCAGAAAAGCUUGUAAUCUAAAUAUCAAAUGAUGUAUAGCAUUGGCCAUCACUCUGAGUUUUAAUAUACCUCAAAAAUACUAUCAUAUAUGGUUCAGUGAUUUACUAAUAAGCUUGUUUUACAACACAGGGAGAGAUGCAAUGCACAACCAGUUUAACCUACUUCCCAGUUCUAAUUCUCUCCUACCAAAAAAACCCUCAAACACUUGGAAUCAAUUAUUUUUAAAGACCUAUCACAGCAUUAGAGAUCAAAACAACAGAAUUAGAGAUUUCUAACAGAAAGAAAGUAAAUUAUUUUUUUCAGACUAGAUGAACAACAGUAAGGAAUCUUGUUAGAAUGGGGAACAUACUACAUAAAACACUUAAAACCCAGCAGACAAUUCUUUGUAUUUUCAACAUCUUUAAUGUCUCACAUGUAACGUAAUGCUUAACAAAAAGACAGCUGAAGUACAUUUUUGUUUUCAGCAGCAGUUUCAGCACUUGAGAUAAACUUCUGGAAACAAUGCAGUGGUUUUUGAAAGUGAUUCUCUUGGUUGGAGGCUCAGAUCCCUGCUUCCUAUCUUGCUGUUGGAAAUGGGACUUGUCUGCCAGGAGCACCUCCCAGUGCUCUGAUAUUUCCUUAUAAACCUUUUCAUGAAGGAGGAAAUGGAAACCAGGUUCUUACAUGUUUUGCCCAAGGCUAACGAGGAAUUUAUCUCCCAUUGUGGAUUAAAACCCAAGAAUGCUUCUUACAUACCACUGCAUUUAGCACAGACUUUUCCUGUCUCCCCUGACUCCACCAAGCUCUCCUGCUCAUUGAGACAAAGAUCAGUUUGCAGUGUCUUGGCCUACUGUUUUUUAAAUCCACACAAAGUCCUCGUGCUCUCAUUACUAUAUCUUUCUACAUUGUUAAAUCUGCUAAAUCUUUUGCCUUUUUCUCUAUACUUUUCCACACUCACCCUUGGUAGGAUGCACACAGUAUUUAGCUAGGACUAGAGGAACAGCAUCCCAUCUCCAUUUCACCCAAGGGGUAUGGACACAUCUCCCUUUUACAAAGCCAAAGGCACAAGAGUAACUGAGGGUCCAAGCAACAGUCAAGGGCUGCAAGACUUCCCCUGGCAAAUAGGAGACUCCCUCUGUAUUUACAUGUACAUUGUACCUAUGUUCACCUUUCCAUCAUACACUUACAGUUGAAACAGGUUCAUUGUCCUCCAACUUCUUACAAAAGGUGUACAGGGGUAUCUGUAAACUGACACUUCUGCAACUUGAUAAUCAUUUCCUGGAGUGAGAGUUUCUGUAACAAGAUCCUGCUGGCCUCUGCCUGGAAGAGGGCAGGGUAACAGUGGGAUAUGUUUUUACCUGAUAAACCUUGUUUCACCAGAGGCUGGUGGCACUGUACUAACCUCUCAGUGUUGGCAAACCAUUGGCAUGGGCGCCUGGUUGACAUCAAAAGAAAGCUGGCUACUCUAGCAGCAAGGUGCUACCAUGGUGUUAAAAAUUAAUUAGGUACUGUGCCCUAGGAAGCUUCUCCAUCCCUGGCCAAAAAGAUUUCCUGAUGGUCUGCUGGUGAGCACUAUAUACUAGUAAAACACGGUUAAAAUGCAUCAGCAACUGCAUGCUGCACCAAUUACAGUACAUAGCUACAAGUAAGUCAAGUAAGUUAUUUGUGUAAUUACAAGGAACUGAUCCCUGGGGGUCAUGCAAAUAAUUCAGUAUACUUGCUAAAAAUGAGCUUUCUGAGAACAUUUACACUGGUAUAAUCUGACGGGAUGCAGAAUUCUGGAAAAUAAAUGCCAAAGGGGAUAAGAACACAGCUAAAGCUAAUUUAUUUUUUAAAUCAAAUGAAUAUUCACUGUCCCACCCCUCCCCCUGUAUUUGCUCAGCUUUAAUGAAUAGAUUCUUCUUCACUUUGGGCCUUUUCAUUUUGGGGCAUAUAUCCCAGGUUGGGGAAUGUUAUCCAAAGCUCAGCAGAACUGCCACAGAGUGAAGAGUAGCACACACAAAAGUAGCUACACCAGUUCGCACGCAGGAGACACUUUUGCCUAUUACCUGAAUGGACAGCCUUUUCAGGGAGCUUCUGAAAAAAUAACCUCUGUUAUUAAUUUAAUCACCUUGUGUCAAAUGGUGGAGUGACAAGAGAGAAAAUUUACCUCAGCAAUAACUCAGCUCUAGAGGUAUAUACAGAGGAGAAGGAAAUUGGGUUGUUGCGGAUAUAGCAAUAACAUCACAAAGCAAAAUCCAAUAUUGGAAGAGAUAAAAGUUUCCCAUCCCAAUAUUCCUCAGUGACAAGUAUGAAAGAGUAUGCAUAAGAACAAGGGAAAAAGAUGAAAGAUAGCACCAGAAAAAAAAAAAAAAAAAAAAAAAAAGCCUUUGUAAAGUGAGCUAACAGGUAAUUAAUCCCUCAAAAGCAAGAAGAUCAGAGCAUUUGGGAAACUGGCACAGAUACCGAUCUCAGUAACAUAUGCUUUGGGUUCUCCCCAUUUCGUUUUGCUAAAUGUUCUGCAAAGGUGAUUCAGAGAUCCCAGCCAAAGGGCUGCCUCCUCCCACCAGCUGAGCUCCCCCUGUUCCCAGCAACCCAGAAAAAUAACAGGUAAAUGGGGGCAUGCGGGGUAUCACGGUGGCAGUGAUGCUGACAAGGCAAGCCAGAAACAGAAUGUGUGUAUCAGUGACAUGUUUCCUAACAGCAAUGACAGAUUUUAAUAAGCAAGUUAUUCUUAAGUUUUGAUUUGAGGUGUAUAUAAUUAGGUAACGUGGGCGUUGAGUGAUAAAACCCACAAGAAAAAACACAAAUUAGAAACACUGGUUCUUUGAAACCACUGCCUAUUUCACACUAAAUGGCGUGACCUAUUUUUAUUGUAUUAUUGCAUUUGAGAAAUAAAAGGAAAUAAAAUUCUUUUUCAUCUCUCUUUCAGCAUCAGAAAGAUAUACCAGGAACAAAUGACGCUGCUUUUCCCAAAACUGCUCUUUCAAAACUAAAGAACCAUCAUUUGUGGUUUGAUUUCGUUAAUUGUUAACUGACUUCUUCCCAGGAGCUGCAGGUGAGAUCUGCCUCACCAUUUCCAGGCUUUCUGGUGAUCACUUUCACAAAACUAGCUACAAAUAUAGCUAACUAUUGCCUUGCUUUGGAUUUGAAUAAGAGGGAAAAGUAGAAAAACUUUAUGCUGAUCAAAAGCAAGAGUUUACAAUGAGUUUCAGGAGAAUCCUUUUGAAGGAAAUAUGGCUGAUGAAAAAAAUAAGAGAUUUUUUGAUCUACUCUGAGCUUUUAAGCAUUUGCAUAUGUGGCAGGAUGUUUCAUGUGCUGUAAAUGAGAAAUGCCUAGGACAACUUCCUAUACAGAUUUCAAAAAGUCAUGCUUCUUACCAUCAUCACUAACAGGCUGAACAUCAAGAAUCAAUAGAACUGUUGUACAAAAUAUGUACUUCUAAGUAUCUCAGAAAUGUAAUCAAUUUCCUUUUAAAUAACCUAGACUAUCUUUGUUAAAUUUAUAAAGUGAAGAACUCCAGUGUGCAGGACAGUGCCUCAUUCUAAUAUCUUCACAGCCUUUCAUAUAGGCUUCCACUGGCCAUUAAUUUGUCCAAGAGAGCAAGUUAUCUUUCAGCCACCUGAAAGUUAUGUAAAGACACAUCUUUAUCUACAGUGCUUGUUAUGAGCAAAAGCACAGUGUUAUUAUUUCCCAAGAAAUCCAGUCCAUCUACUGAGGAUUACCAAAGAUAGUUGCUGUUAUUGAACGCAGUAGAUCUAUUAUAGAUCUUGGGAAACAAUUUGUCCUUGACACACACCCCACACAAAAACACUGACCAACCUUAUCCAAGUUCUGCUCAGUUUGUAUUGUAGUUUCACCCCAAAUACAAAAAAUUAAUUCCCAACCAUGACGGCUCCAGAUACCAGCAAGUGAUUUUGACCCCAGGGCAGAAGCCAGCAUGAGGCGCCUACUCAGCAUGUGGCUUUCUGCUGCUGCCCUGUCCCCAGCCAGUGCAAAGCACACAAACCAUGAGCUCCGAUGAGAACUGCAGACCCCUUCAUAGACUUCUCUGAAGCCCAAGUGCUCCACAAAAACUGCAAGAAAAAGCACACAAAAAAGUGCUCCAUCCAUUUUUGUGAUGCCUCUAUCAAAUGAUAAAAGAUUAUUAGAAAUAAUAUAAAUGAAUUCAGUUCCAUAGGAAACACCAAGCCACCACAAGCCACUACAAAAUCUGUUCUUAUUUCAAAUCAACACAAAAAUAAAAUAAAAUAAAAUAAAAUAAAAUAAAAUAAAAUAAAAUAAAAUAAAAUAAAAUAAAAUAAAAUAAAAUAAAAAUAAAAACCCUUGAUCUUUUCACAAAACCCAUUAUCAGAAAUCAUCUCUUGAUGUUCUUAGAAUUCUACACUCAGGGUAUUAUACAACAUGAAAACUGAAAUUAUAAUGUUGAAAUGUUUUUAAGCCACAAUACAAUAUUUUGAAAAUCUUCCAACAGAAAUUUUAGAAAUCAAAACUUCCAGUUUUUCUUCUGAAUUCAGUCAUCUCUCUCCUACGAUUUUUCUCCUGAAGUCUUUGGUUAUCCUUAUGGAUGAACAGCCCUGUUUUAUAGAUGUUUUUAUAUAGCACCUCAUACAGUGGAUUCCUGAUCCUGGUUCCUCAAGUAUCUUCCUAAAGCUGUCAUCUAUUUGGAUUUGUAAGAGCAGUGACUGAUAAGAAUAAGAAAAUAAGACCAUCAUCAGCAAGAACUUAGUGGGAAUGCUAUACUUCUAUACUUCCAAAUGAAGGCUGUUUAGUCUCAUCUGUUUCUUCCUGGCUAACAGUGAGCUGUAAUACUUCUUGAUUCUAUCUUUCUUGUUUGGAUUUUUUUUUUUCUUUGGGGGGGAGGGGGGGGAGAGGGUUGGGGGGAGAAUGGGAGGGUGUGGAUGGAAGCCUUUUAUUUUUAUGACCUGAAGAGCGAAGUAUCAGUGUUUUCACUGACACCAAAGCUAUGAUGAACUCAAGAACAGGCAUCUUUUCAAGUAACCUGCACUUUUUUUUUUCUUUUUGAUUCACUGCCUUUAUAUUUAACAAACAAUUGCAGCUGUCUUGAAGGGAGAAGACCCUUUUGACCCACUUGGGAACCUACUGCGUGCAAGCAUUGGGCUUAAACUUCUGCCAUAUCCAGACAGCCUUCGUGACCUUCGCUGCUACUCCUGCAAGAUGCACGCUGAUGGGAUGAUGUUGUAAGUAAGCCAGGAGCAGUAGGAAAUGGACUGCUAAGUGUCUCAUUAAGUUCCAUUAAGGGGUCUAACCACUACCCUUGGAUUGACUGUCAGAAGGAAAACAUCUGUUUUAUUUAAUGAUUUCUACUGAUGCUAUUCAGAUCCCAGCAAGUUUGAAAUGUUGCCCCUUAUGCACUUACAGCACAUUUCCCAAUUAAGAGUGGAACGGUUCUUUUUAUAGUAAAGUGGGAGAUUUGCAGUAACUACUGUAACUCAAUUGUAGGGAAGAUCUCAGGGGCUUGAUUAACUUUUUUAUUGCAAAAAUCAAUCCUGGUAAGAAAAAGCAAAGUCUUAACUCCUACAGCUGUUUACCAGAUGAGCUCUGUCCUAGGUAUGACUUUUCUCAGUCCCACCCACAGCACAUCACUAGAAGAUUACAAGAUGUGUCCAGAGGCUCUGUGUACAUAAAUGGAGCCACUUAUAAUCAUAACUGGGGAAAAAAAGGACAGAUUCGCCAAAUUACUUGCAAAGAGACUGACCUAGAAGGGUAAAUAUAUUGUUUGAUAUGCAGGAAGCUGUUUCCCACAGAAAAACACUUUCAGGGAGGUUGUAACUUAACCCUUAUCACUUUUCAACAUAAAAAGAAAAUGCUUUUACCAGCUAAUGGUUCAGAAAAGUGCAUGAGUGGUUAGUGUAACCACAACAACAUAUUCAGAAGCAGUGAGACAGAAAAUGAAAUGCCUGAUAAGCAUAUGUUGUUUUUAAUAAAGAAAGAUUUAGUGCUAAGUGGACCACACCGUCUCCGAGGUUACGCUGCAAAAGCAGAACAUGGGAGGACUCAGCACCCUCAGAAAACGCUGCUGUGGCCUGGCUCCACCACCAACCACUGCGCAGCCUUAGUCUUCAGCCCCUAUGCCUCUUAUCGCCUGGUGCAAAACAGAGCUGAAAAUUUGCCUUUCUCUGCCUUGCCUCUGUUAAACCGCUCAGUUCUCACAGACACAGCACGAGGCCAUACCAUGUUCAGUGCUUAAUGUACUCUCCAGGUAUUUAGGACUAAGAUUAUUUAGUCAGAACAGAGAUUUGGAAAGACAAUUUUGUUCUGGCCUUGCAUUAAUUGUUUAUUUAUUACAUGGUUAUGCUGGAUAUGUGUUAUCAAUAUUCAGGUCUGAAUGCACCAGGUGCAGACAUACUGAGGACUGACGGCAAUUUAUUUUGUAAAUGGCUGAGAUAAGAUUGGAGGAGAAGGAAUACCUUCCAGGUGGCUGUGUGUCUCAAGCACAAUGAAUCAGCCAGCAGCACUUAAAAAUUGUUCCCAUGUAAUUCUGGAGAAGGGCAGGAGGCUGGCCCUCACCACCCAGCCACUCAGCUGCUCCCCACUGCCAGCAAGUGACAUGCACACAAGGUGGAUUUCAAGUGCUCUUUACCUUACCUGAAGUCCAUUUUAGGCAGGGCCUAGAAACACCCUGUUUACAGGGUACCCUGCAGUUGAAAUAAACAAACAAACACCUUUCUUGCUACAGUGAAACCUUGUUAGACCCUGGUCAUGGCACUAUUCCUAUGACACCACAUCUAAACCUGGAGAGAAUAAAUUGGUGGGCAGCCUAGGCCAGCCUAAGGUUGUCUGGUCAUGAUGUAAGACCCUCCUGCAUUUGUCUUUCAUUCUUCUGCCUGGAAUAGGUGGGUAAGGUUCCCACUCGGUGCAAACUAUAAGCAGGCAAUAUCUAGAGUCAUAAUCAGUUCCCAUGGCAAGUGAGACCUCAAAUGGACCUGAGUCAACACAACCACUCCAGGAACAGCCAGGCAACGAAGCAGCUCCUUGUCCUGGUUCAACUACCACCAACCUACUUACACACUUCCCUGGAGCACAAUUUGUUCCUCCUUGGGAAUGGUUAUAAGAAACAUAAAGCUCAGCUAAAAGUUUGUAUGGGAAUAAGAAUCCAGCUCCAGAGCAAUCAUUACUACAUCUCCAAUGAGCCUAAUGAGCAGCAGAAUACAAACAGCAACAAGCAUAGACGACCAAAUUCACAAAGAAAAAAAUAAGUUGCCUCAUUUAAAUGAGCAAAUCACCGUUAUUAAAUUACCGCCUUCUCUAGAUCGUGCUGAGCUGAUUUAACCACACCAAAAUAUGCACUGUUAAUAUAACAGGAAUAAGUAUAGGACUUUAAUAAAUGCUGGGUUUCUCUGAGCACUCAUAUCCAGCUGAGAAAUGCUAACUCAUGUUUUUGCUUAACCUUGACGCUUGGACCCCACUUUUAAGGAAGCACAAAAGCAACUGCUGCUUUCACAAAAUCAACUCUCUGAUAAGGUGUUGCAGGUUCCACACCAUUUCCUGAAGGGGAGAUAAGAAGAGAACAUGGAUACCUCACAUCCUGAGCAAUGGUGACUCAGAAAAUCCAUCACUGGGUACAAAACAUACAGAUUCAGGCAAACUCUUCAGUUGAUACUGAAAAGUAGUUCUAGGUGGGGGAGGAAAAGUAUUUUAAAGUCCCACGUAAACAAAGAACAAGAUGUACUUAAAAAUAUGUAUUGAAUCUAUGGUUAUGUCUUUGUCUUCCUUGAUUUAAGGGCUAGACUCCUGCAGCUCAAUAGGUCAGACCAGAGGUCAGACAAAAGCACUCUGGGCUCUAACAGUAGCUUCUGCAAGAUGCUAGAUCAUCAUUAGUGGAGUCACACCAAGGACCAGAGGAAUGUUACCCAUGCUGACAAGGACACAGACCCACAAAGAGAUUAACCCUGCUGGCACCAAUGGCACAGCAUGUGUGGAGGUCACUAGGACAUGUCGGGGACAACCUACAUGUCUGAGUGCUCCCACGUAGACAAGCAUUGUAAGGGACUCCCUGCUUCUGCCUACUUAGAGCACUCAUUCUUCAUGGUGGGACCAGAGGGACUGGGUGUACAGAGCUCUGGAAAUCAGGAUGUAAACUCUGUGAGGGCUUGGAGAUGCAGGGCCUGCCUUCAGUGCAAGAUUCAGCUGAGGAGAGCCAGGUCUCAGCUGCCUGGGGCAUUGCAAGCUGUCCACAGCAUCCCUACCUCCUAGUUGCUGCUUCCCAUCUGAUAAGAAAUAACAGCGAUUUUCCUGCAGGUUUUAAAACUUCUUCAUUGAAAACUACAAAAUUGGAGACAAAAAACUUCUGAAGUCUAAAUCGUCUGCUACCAUGGACUAACACUUUGUAAAACUCAUAAAAGGAACCUCACCAUCAAAUGUGACUUGGUUCACCUGCAGAGCUGAGGGGAAGGCUUGAUUGUGUACCUAAUUUAGGUUGUUGGAAACGGUUUCUAUGCUAACCUUCUAUAAUCAUAUUUCACACCACUUUGACAAUUUUAAAUGUUUUCCACUGCUGCUAAUACUUUCCUUCUUGCUGUUAAGCUCCAUGCAAAAAUUUCUGGAAAAUUUCAACAUGCACAUCCAAAUCAUAUUCAAAUUGAGAAAAAUCUGAAAAGUGUGCAUUUCUCCACAUAAAACCACCCCCAAAAUAUCUUCCUUUGCUUUCAACGUUACUGAAUGUUGUAAAUUCAUGAAGACAAUAGGAAACGUGGGCCCAUUUAGUCCUCAUUACUAAUGUCUGCAUUUGCCUGGCUCAUCCAUGCAGACUUCAUGUGUCAAAGGGUUCAGCUUGCAGUAUAUAAACUUUCCCCACCACUAAUUAAUUUUCCCCAACACUUAUUUUCCCGUGUAAUCUGCUACAUGAAAAACAAAACACACUGCCACCAAACAAGCAAACAAAAAACAUAUACUUUGCCCAGUUACACUUAGUUAAGAAUAAUCCAAUCUCAGAGAUGAUGGAUGACUUGUACGAUCUUUAAUAUACUUGCCCUAUAUCAUAUUUUAUAUGAUUUUUCUUUCUUCCUUUCCCUAUUUCUGCUGCUUUCUUUAUUCCUUUCUCUCUCCUCUCUUAUAGCCUGGCUUUCCCCUUUGGCAAUUCUCUGCUCUGUUUCCAGCCUUAUUUUUAUCAGUGGAUUUUUCCAUGGCUCAUUUUUUUGGCCCCUUGAAGAAAAUAAAAAACCUAAUCCCCAUGUCCCAGUAAGACUUUCAGACUUUGAAAGCUCCUACACCUUUGGUAGAAAGCAGCACACUUUUUGCCCAUUUUCAAACAUUUUCUUUAACAAGCUGAAUUUCAAAUAAAAAUGACAUUGCUUAAAUGAUACCGUUUCUUUCUCACACAGAUCAUCACAUUCCUAAGCAGUUCAUCCAAAGACUUUGCAAAGGCAAUUCAAGCACAUCCUUUUACCUGGGGGGAAAGGACUGUUAUUUCCCAGAGGCAAACACACUCUGAUGUUAAUUUAAACAAAGCUCAUGAAAAAGUGUGCUCUGCUGUGAACGGUUAAGGAUCACUAGGGCCUAUACCGCACAAGAUUCCUAGCUAUAGCAAUUUAAAAUUACCCCAGAUAUGUAUGAUUUGAGUUGAAUAUGCAUUGCCUGCCACCCCCACUCAAACUGAAAAUGGAUUUCUUUGUAAUAAAUGCCUGUUUUAUGUGGAGUGAUUGGAAAAGAAAAGCCCUUCCUAGCUAUGGUGUUCUCUAAAGCAAGUGGGAGGAGAAAAAUGUUUGUAAACUUCUUUUGUUCCAAAAUGUGAAAUGCAUUUUGUCAUUUUUAUAUUCAAACCUUCGUAUGGGCUCUGGCAAGUUUUGAACCAGGCCUGUAAAAGGUUCUGUGAGCAAGAGGGAGUGGGUAAUGAGAAUGAAAUCUACCCUCCCUGUUGAAGAGGUGGGGAAGAAGAAAUGUGAUAAAUAAAAGAUUGAGAAAAGUGGACACAAAAAGACAGGAAGUGAAGGGGAAGUGACAGGAUGAGCUAGUUGUAGUAAAAAUUGUCAAGGUAUUAAAAAAAAAAAAAAAAAAAAAAAAAAAA